AUUGAACGCUAGCGGGAUGCUUUACACAUGCAAGUCGAACGAGUGGCGGACGGGUGAGUCAUAUAUCGGAACGUGCCCAGUAGCUGGGGAUAACUCCUCGAAAGAGUGGCUAAUCCCGCAUACUAUUGGCGCGGCCGAUAUCGGAUUGGCUAGUUGGUGGGGUAAAGGCUCACCAAGGCCACGAUCCGUAGCUGGUUUGCGAGGAAGACCGGCCACACUGGGACUGAGACACGGCCCAGACUCCUACGGGAGGCAGCAGUGGGGAAUUUUGGACAAUGGGGGAAACCCUGAUCCAGCCAUCCCGCGUGUAUGAGAAGGCCUUCGGGUUGUAAAGUACUUUUGGUAGGGAAGCGGUAUCUGAAGAAUAAGCACCGGCUAACUACGUGCCAGCAGCCGCGGUAAUUC
rnacentral:rRNA from 1 species